UGGGCUUGACAUGCAGGGUAAAGCGGGUGAAAGCCCGUGUCCUUCGGGGCCCUGCACAGGUGCUGCAUGGCUGUCGUCAGCUCGUGCCGUGAGGUGUUGGCUUAAGUGCCGCAACGAGCGCAACCCCUGCUCUUAGUUGCCAGCGGGUAAUGCCGGGGACUCUAAGGGGACCGCCGGGGACAACUCGGAGGAAGGUGGGGAUGACGUGUCGUUACCUUA
rnacentral:misc_RNA from 1 species